rnacentral:rRNA from 1 species
UACGUAGGGCGCAAGCGUUGUCCGGAAUUAUUGGGCGUAAAGAGCUCGUAGGCGGCCAGGUAGGUCAGCUGUGAAAACUCGAGGCUCAACCUCGAGACGCCGGUUGAAACCAUCUGGCUAGAGUCCGGAAGAGGAGAGUGGAAUUCCUGGUGUAGCGGUGAAAUGCGCAGAUAUCAGGAGGAACACCCGUGGCGAAGGCGGCUCUCUGGGACGGUACUGACGCUGAGACGCGAAAGCGUGGGGAGCGAACAGG